rnacentral:rRNA from 1 species
GACGAACGCUGGCGGCGUGCUUAACACAUGCAAGUCGAGCGGUAAGGCCCUUUCGGGGGUACGACGAGCGGCGAACGGGUAGGAGUAACAACGUGGGUGGACCUCGCCCUCCAGCUCCUGGGAGUAAGACCCGGGAAACCGUAGGGUCGUAAUACUGGAUAUGACUCCAUGACGCAUGUUGUGGGGUGGAAAGCCUUGUGCGGCUGAGGAUGGGCCCGGCCGGCCUAUCAGCCUGUUGGUGGGGGGA